UCAUAGCCCUGAUGGCAGCGACAUCCUUUUGUGUGGCGGACGGAACGGAGAGGAGACCGCUACACAAAAGAUACAGCGAACAGCAGGUUCCCGG
rnacentral:sRNA from 1 species